rnacentral:lncRNA from 1 species
GACCAUGGUCACUGUCAAGGGAAGAUCGGCUGUCCCCACUGAAGUCACCUUGAUGGAUUAAGUUGAUCAGCUGACCAACGUGAGGGGACAGAUGGGAGCUAGGAGCUGUCUCAGUACUGAGUCAUUUUUCAUCUAAUGUGCAAGAAACCCAAAGAGCACAUCAAACAGCGAACUACACCUAAGCUAUCCAUGUUUCUCCUGCUUCUUCUGAGAGGGUGAUUUACACGUAGCUCAACACUUGCUUGUUGCAGUAUCAAGUGACUGCAACCAAACCAUGGAAAAUGUAUCGUGCCUGUUGAAAGAGCCUGCAGUUGGCUUGGAACUGGGACCAUGCUACAUUCAACAUAGUUCAUUGUGGCUGACUUGUUCCCAUAGAAUUAAAUGCUAGGCAUCCAGAAGCUGACUGCGCAUCUGAUGUGCUCACUAACGUUCAGGAACAGGUUGGCCUCAGACCUCAUCAGUGGAAAGGUAUACAAUAAUUUGGGGUAACUUAUAGUGUAAAAG